AUUGAACGCUGGCGGCAGGCCUAACACAUGCAAGUCGAGCGGGGUUUUCGGACCUAGCGGCGGACGGGUGAGUAAUGCGUAGGAAGCUACCCGAUAGAGGGGGAUACCAGUUGGAAACGACUGUUAAUACCGCAUAAUGUCUACGGACCAAAGUGUGGGACCUUCGGGCCACAUGCUAUCGGAUGCGCCUACGUGGGAUUAGCUAGUUGGUGAGGUAAUGGCUCACCAAGGCGACGAUCCCUAGCUGGUUUGAGAGGAUGAUCAGCCACACUGGAACUGAGACACGGUCGAGACUCCUACGGGUGGCAGCAGUGGGGAAUAUUGGACAAUGGGCGCAAGCCUGAUCCAGCCAUGCCGCGUGUGUGAAGAAGGCCUUCGGGUUGUAAAGCACUUUCAGUAGGGAGGAAGCGUUGUGUGUUAAUAGUACACAGCGUUGACGUUACCUACAGAAGAAGCACCGGCUAACUCUGUGCCAGCAGCCGCCGUAACAC
rnacentral:rRNA from 1 species